GUGUAUGAAUGUGACAGUUAUUGGGUCGUACGGUGUAUGAAUGUGACAGUUAUUGGGUCAGACAGUGUAUGAAUGUGACAGUUAUUUGGUCUGAUGGUGUAUGACUGUGAUAGUUAUUGGGUCAGACGGUGUAUGAAUGUGACAGUUAUUGGAUCAGACGGUGUAUGAAUGUGAGUUUUUAGGUCGGACAGUGUAUGAAUGGUACAGUUAUUGGGUCUGACGGUGUAUGAAUGUGACAGUUAUUGGGUCUGACGGUGUAAGAAUGUGACAGUUAUUGGGUCAGACGGUGUAUGAAUGUGACAGUUAUUG